UACGAAGGGUGCUAGCGUUGUUCGGAAUUACUGGGCGUAAAGCGCGCGUAGGCGGUCUAUCAAGUCAGAGGUGAAAGCCCUGGGCUCAACCCAGGAAUUGCCUUUGAAACUGGUAGACUUGAGUGUCGGAGGGGAUAGCGGAAUUCCUAAUGUAGAGGUGAAAUUCGUAGAUAUUAGGAGGAACACCGGUGGCGAAGGCGGCUAUCUGGACGACAACUGACGCUGAGGCGCGAAAGCACGGGGAUCAAACAGG
rnacentral:rRNA from 1 species